rnacentral:sRNA from 1 species
CUACUCACUCCUCUAGUUGCUUCUGUGAGUUUCCGUUUCCCCUUCCCUGAAAGAACCAACAAGAUCUACACUUCAGUGUUGUUUGCAGGACUAGAGAGUGCCUGUAGUGUGCCUCCAACCCUGCUUCACACGCCUCAGGACACCUCCAGCAGGGUGGCCUGCUCUGCAGGGAGGGCCAUCUUGUUUUCCAAGUGGCACCCGCUGCUGCCAUCUGUCCACUACCUCCAAUGGUGAGUCACGGAGAUUUCGUCUGCCACCCGCGGCCUUGUGAGCGCUACAACCACGGAACCGUGGUGGAGUUUUACUGCGAUCCCGGCUACAGCCUUACCAGCGACUACAAGUAUAUCACCUGCCAGUAUGGAGAGUGGUUUCCUUCGUAUCAAGUCUACUGCAUCAAAUCAGAGCAAACAUGGCCCAGCACCCAUGAGACCCUCCUGACCACGUGGAAGAUUGUGGCGUUCACGGCAACCAGUGUGCUGCUGGUGCUGCUGCUCGUCAUCCUGGCCAGGAUGUUCCAGACCAAGUU